CUGCUUUGCAAAGAGGAAAGAGUCAGUGCUCUGAGGAGGAGCCCAUGAGAAAACAAUAAGCAGGUGUGGAAGUGACCUUAUUUUUCAGAAGUGCUGCCCGCCUUAAUGAGAGGAAAAUACAGCUCCUGGUAGAAACUCUCCUGUUUAGAUAUCCAGAACUAGUAAGUUACUUCUGGAAAUAAAACAGGAGCUGAAAAUUUAUUGGAAUUAAUAUCUGUAUGCAAGGAACGAAGCUUACUUGUCAACAAAUGUAAGAGCAUGGGAUCAUUAAAUGUGUUUGAAGAACAGCCAGCAUCUAUAUCAUAUGUGGAGCAAGAGCCAAGAACAAUCUGCUCUGUUGCUGCUUAGUCUGAAAAUAACAGCCUGCCAAACAGAGGAAUUUUUGGUUUUGUUUUUUGAGAAGCUGUUUUUCUUUGGAAGCUGAAUUACAAAUGGAUCAGGGCUCACUCAAGCUUUAUGUUAAACCAGGCAGUGACUGGCAUCUCAGCACAGAGUGAGCUGCUGAGGAAACCUCGUGGUCCAUCACUGUGAAAGGGCAGAGGUGUAAUGGGAACUUUGUGGCACUAACAGAAGAUCAGCCACAGACAGGGUCUGGUACACCAGAGGCAAGGAAACUUCCCCGGAGGAGGAGGAGAUGUGACUGAAUCCUGUGAUAUUUCUGCAUUUGAGUCUUUCCAUAGCAGUGGAUUCAACUGGGCCAGGCGCCCAAGGAUCUAUUCCUUAAUUCUGACCUUUAUAUUUUUUGUAUUUACAAAUUUAUAAAAAAAUUUAUAUUUUUUAUAUUUACAAAUAUUUUAACAAUAGGUUGUCCUAAUAUCCAGUCACAGCUGGUAAGAGCAGCAUCAGUGAGACUUUGUGACAUGCUUGGGCUUAUUUCAGUACCACUAGUGAAGAGGAAUGAGAAAAAUCCUCAAAAUAAAACUGAUCAUAAUAGUUCUGACCACUCACUGGGAUUUUCAGUAAGUCUUUUUCCUGAAGGAUUUUUUUCCUUGUUCAUGAAGUCUACAUUAAGCAGGAAAGAAAAAAAUCUAGUUUUCUGCUUAAAAAAAAAAAGGUAUAAAAAAGUUUUCCAUUUUCAGAAGCAUUUUAAAGCCCUUCAGAGCCAAGUACUCUGCAAAUCCACUUCAGGGUCUGGAGAGUCAGUGCACAUUGUGGGGAAAUGUUUUUUCUUGUUGCUGCUUCCUCAACCUUUGUCCAGUCACCAGAGGCUAUGGAGGUGGCAGCACCUCUGCUGUCAGGCACAGGUGGUGCUGCUUCCUCUCCACCUCAUCCUUUCUGGGUGUUUGAAGGUUCCUGCUUCCAGGUAGGAGUGUAGGAACGAGCAGCAAAAUGCAACCAGUUCAGGAGAUACUGGAUGUAAUCUGCCAGAGAAUAAAGCUUCAAGGUCAAAUUAUAGAAAACAGCACAACUGCAGAAAUGAACUGAAACUGUGUGUCAGAGGAAGGGGUGUGCUGUGAAAAACCAUUUGGUCAACUGAUGUUUUUUUCAAAUUUGAGGGGAAAAAUGGAAAGAGAUAAGUCACUUAGGGCAAGUAUAUAAAAAUUGCAGAAGUAAGGACCAGUAGCUCAUAAAAACUUGUUUCUAUCUGCCACAUGCUCAGAGUGCAGCCUGGGUUUAACCAUGAUGAACCUACCACCUCCUCUGAAAGGCCUGAGUUUGUGUCAGCAAUUCUCUAAGUUACAAAAGAGGGGUUGCUUUGGUUGGCAUGGGAGUUGUUUGUCUCUAUUUUUGUCUCGUUGAUGCUAUCUAUGUAUAACUGUUAAGCCACACUGAAGAGUAAAUCAGGCUGCUGAGAUGAGCACAAAUUCUUUUGUGAGUGUGCUUGCACAGUGGCAUUAAGCAACAGGACAUGAAGGGAGUUUGAUAACCUUGACAUUUUUUUCUGGUUUUUGGUCCAUGUAAUUUUGCUCAGUCUAGACAAGUCUGAUGUUAUGAGACUGAUCAUUUGUCUUAUUUUUGUCUGCAGCAUGGAGCUGUCUGGUGCUUGUUCUCUCCUGAGCACAGCAGGCUCAAUUACAGGUUAAAUGGGGAUUAAUGGGUGUAUUUUGCAAAAAAGGUGGCAUGGUUUUGCAGUCAAGGAACAUCUAAGAAAGUCUCUGUGAGGCUGUCAGACACUUAAUUGCUCUCUGAGUUGAUACACUUGUUGGUGAAUUGGUGAAUUUCUACAAAAUGAGUAUGGGUCCUCAGCUAAGAGAUUUAUAUAACUAUUACAUAAAUCCUAGGUGAGACUCAUUAGCUGAUGUAAAUCCACAGGGUUCAAUUUCCAUAUAUCUGCUAUGAUUUAUAUUAGCUCAGAACCCAGUCUUAUAUUUUCUCAGCCUGACUGCAUUAUUAUUUAUUAAAAGUGAAUUUGUUGUUUACAAUGCCCUAGAGAUGCAGACCAGCUAGGUUUCUGACUUAAUUUCCCUGAACGUGAACUAAAAUCAAAAGAAGCAAUAAAUUUGGAAUAUUUUUUUCCAGCAGUAUUAUGACAGAGACAAUUUAGUGUUAGCUGGUCUGUUCAGGAAGUCUAAACCACAUUGCAACUAACAUUUUACACAGGAAGCAUAUGAGAAAACAUAUGGAAUGAGUUAUCUUUACUUAAACAUUCAGGCAGGUUGUGAAUCUGAAUUGCUGCACCCGUUCUGCACAUUCUUACAAAGAGACACCAGCAAGAGGAGAUUCUUGGGUGGAACUGUCCCCUCAGAGGUACUUGGCAGUGAUUAUUAUGGACCAUGUGAUGCACAAAUAAUUUUCUCUCUGAGGGUCUGUGAAGUAGCCCUAGAAGGAAUGGAAGUGCUACUGCUGCAUUUCAGCCAGGCUGAACUGGCAUGGAUUGCAGGAAAACCAGAAGAAAUGUGAUCCCCAGCCCAUCCUGCCAUGCCCACCAUGGAAGGGAUUUCCUUGAAAACAAAGCCCAGAAGGAGCUGGACUGUGCACUUGCACAAGAGGGCAGCAGAGCAAAGAACACAGGAUGGGACAUCUUCCUUGGAUGGUGGUCAGCCUCAGACAGAAUCAGCUCUGUGGGUUAUGGGGUACAAACGGGAUUUAUUUCUGUGGUGGGACGUUGAAACAGGUCAGACCGUGAGGAUGUCACCUGUCAGCCUUCAGUCUCAGCUGCAGACAAGUACACAGGUGUAUCAGGCAAAAUCGGGCAAUUGGUUUCAGUAUGUCUGUCAGACAUGUGAAACUCAUACUCCAGUCAAAGCAACCAACAGGCAGUAAAAAACAUGAAUUGGAAAUAGUUUCUACACCUGGGCAAAUACUUCACCUACACCAGACUUCACCUGUGCAAAUGUUUGUCUUGAUCAAUAUUCACAUUUGAGGUCUUCCCUAAUCCUUAUUUUUUCUGUUGGCUUAAUUUUUCCCUCCUCCUUGCUUCAUAGUGGUGUUCAAAACUAAUACAGGUAUAUCCCUAAAUCCAGAUUUUCCCUUGGUAUACAGAGGACUUCCAAAAGGGCUGUAAAAUGCACCACUGUGAUACAAGGUCUUGCUGCACCAGUAAAUCCCAAAGAGAAUGGCAGCAGGAGAAGCUGGCUGAAGUGGUGUUGAUAUACAAGUCUCUGACAGAUUUCUUUCCCAGCAGUGCGUAUGACAAAGCCACUCCACAGAUGACAAGUGACCGCUGGGCUCCCAGGAGGACUCUGAUAUCCCGGCUGAGACCUCGAGAGCUCUGUGUUUCUGUCUUUCCUUGGCCUGAGUGGCAGGGGGGUCUCGCUUAAGACGCGGAGCAUCAGCCAAGGUGGCAGCUGUCAGGGAGAAACACACACAGACACAUCUCAUCUCAGAUGAUCCUCUUAGCAGCGAGUUCUGCCUUUGUGGGGCUCCCCUGGCACUGCCACUUGUACAUCUACCAGCAGGGAAGGGAAAUUGCAUCUCAGAGCAAGCUGUGCCCCUGCUCAGGGCAUUCACUCACUGCACCUUCGGAGGGAGGUUUUUCCUUCUUGCCAGUACCCACAGAGCUUGCAGAGCUCCUGUUACCAAUGAAAUCCCCUCUCCCUCUCCCUCUUCUUCCUCCUCUCCCUCUUCUUCCAUCUCUCCCUCUUCAACUGCUGCUUUUUC